CGCGUCCCUCUGGGCCCGGCCCCGCUCCUUCGGCGCCCUCCAGCCUCGCGGGUUUGCGCCGGCGUUGAACCGCUGCGGAAGGGAUGCCCUCAGGCCGCGCGCAGUCUAGCGCGGGAGGCUGACCUAGAGCUCUCCAGUUCCGUACGCCGAGGGCUCCUAAGAGAAUGACUGGAUGUUUUAUAAAGGCCUCACAGAUAUCACAGCUGAAAGUGAUUCUGACCCACUCAGAAUUCUUUGAAUAUGUUUGUGCCUCUCCUGUGACCCACGUGUGUGAUCCUUGAAGGGCAACAACCAGCAUCUGGCACAGAUGAGAAAACAGCCCAGAGAGUGAAAGCUGAUUAUUGCAAAUCACAGCCACCAGUGCCAGCCUCUGCACUUGGCCCGCCAGGCUGGGUGACCCUCCAAGGCAGGCCUCGUUCUACACAGCAGGGGUGUGGUUACUCUAAGUCACGGAGCUACAGAGGUGAGAUACUCUCACUUUGAUCCCAAGACCCAUGUGCACCCCACAAAUGCCAGCAGCCACACCUAGAACAAAAUGGUUUUAAUCAAUUGCGUCACCCUCACUCUCC